rnacentral:rRNA from 1 species
GACGAACGCUGGCGGCGUGCCUAAUACAUGCAAGUAGAACGCUGAAGGAGGAGCUUGCUUCUCUGGAUGAGUUGCGAACGGGUGAGUAACGCGUAGGUAACCUGCCUGGUAGCGGGGGAUAACUAUUGGAAACGAUAGCUAAUACCGCAUAAUAGUAGAUGUUGCAUGACAUUUGCUUAAAAGGUGCAAUUGCAUCACUACCAGAUGGACCUGCGUUGUAUUAGCUAGUUGGUGGGGUAACGGCUCACCAAGGCGACGAUACAUAGCCGACCUGAGAGGGGGAUCGCCCACCCUGGAACUUAACCACGCCCCAUACUCCUACGGAAGGAACCAGAAUGAAACCUCCGCCAAUGGACGGAAACUUAACGAAACAAGCCGCCGUAAGUAAAAAAGGUUUCGGAUCGUAAAGCUCUGUUUUAAGAGAAGAACGAGUGUGAGAGUGGAAAGUUCACACUGUGACGGUAACUUACCAGAAAGGGACGGCUAACUACGUG